CUCUAUUUCUAUACCAUCCUGAACUUGCUUGAUCUUGUCUGAUCUACGAAGCUAAAUAGGGUUGGGCAUGGUUAGUAUUUGGCUGAGAGAAUACCUGGUUCUAAAGG
ensembl:rRNA 5S_rRNA 5S ribosomal RNA